AUGAAGUUAAGCCGGGUACUUGUGAAGUGGUGGCGGCUCAUCGUUGCUGUAAUAAGAAUAAAAUCGAAGAGAGAUCUCAGACGGUCAUGUGCUCCUGUCUGCCUGGACAGGUUGCUGGCACCACCCAUUCCCAACCCUCAUGUGUGGAUGCUUCUGUCGUUCAGUCGAAGUGGUGGUGUCAGAUGGAGCCGUGUUUAACCGGUGAGAAGUGUAAAGUGUUGCCUGACCUUACCGGCUGGUCCUGCAGCUCGGGGAACAAAAUCAAAACUACCAAGGUCACGCGGUAGAUGAAAUCUUCACACCUCAGACCGCGGACGUGAUGACAGCUCAUAAUUUCACAGGAACAUAUUUUUAAAUGAAAUGCAACAAAUGUCAACAAAAUUGCACGCUGUCGGCAAAAACAUGCAAACUGUGAACUAAAAAUGUGUUAGUCAGUUGUGCUGUUAUCAGUUUGAGUGAAAACCUUAUGUAAGAAAAAAGAAAAUGGUUUUAUGUCAAAUGUAACAUUUUGUUUUA